rnacentral:lncRNA from 1 species
CAUAACUGCCACGUAUUAUUUUUAUUAAUUCCACAUAAGCUAUUUUGAUCAGACUCUUCAGCUGCAGAGCCAUCAGGAGAUCUCACAGCAGGCAACUGCGGAGGUUUCCUUCUAGCUUAGAAGACACCGAGCUCCUUUUUGCAACGUGGUGUGUUGGUGACAGGAGAGUUCCAGGGGCUAAUGAGGAGACGCAGAAUCACAAUGAACCUAGUGACCAUUUCAAAUCUAAUCCAAGUAAGUAUUUUUCAUUUAUCUUUAAUCUGGUAUCUAAUCG